rnacentral:piRNA from 1 species
CUGGCAACGACCAUGUUGGAGAAUGGAAC